GACUUUGCUUCCCUUCUUGGAUCCCUCCUUCGUGCUUUCCUUUUUUUUUCCUUUCACCCCUGGUUCUUGGAAUCUUGGAUCAAACCCUAACUAUUGAUCCAUCUCCUCCACCCCCAUUUUCUCCCUCCACUCUCUUCUUCUUCUUCGAUUUCCGCCCCUCUCUUCCCUUUUCCUCAUCUCUCCUGCAAUUAAUACUCCAUAGACUUGGUGAAGCUUUUCGUGUUCCACAAAAAUGGUGUCUGGUGGAUCGAUAGUGCCGCAUCAACUUCACUUUCCGAAGCUCUCUUGCCUUUCCAUCUUCAUUUUCGCUCUUCUAAUGAUAUCUCCCCUUAAUGGCAUGUACAAGAGAUUACAAGACUGUAACCAUAGUUUGCGGCAGUAUAAUAACAAACUUCAAACAGAGCUUUCUACAGCCAAUGAGACCUUGAAACGCGUUGAGUGAGAAAGAUGCUGUAGUGGGGAAAGUACAGCUCAUUGCAGGAUCAGUUGCCGUCAUCCAUGAUAUCUCCCCUUAAUGACAUGUACAAGAGAUUACAGGACUGUAACCAUAGUUUGCGGCAGUAUAAUAACAAACUUCAAACGGAGCUUUCUACAGCCAAUGAGACCUUGAAACGCGUUGAGUGAGAAAGAUGCUGUAGUCGAAAACCUCAACACCUUGAGGGGGAAAGUACAGUUCAUUGCAGGAUCAGUUGCCGUCAUCCAUGGAUGCUGAUACUCAACCUUCACUGGUAAUAGUAUACUUCCGAGGUAAUGAUUCAAUGGGAACCCACCCGUCAGGUCCAGGCCCUCAGGUGCCACUUCCAGAAUAUGUUGAGAACAUGAGAAAGAUUGGCACUGAUAUUAAGGGUCUUUCAGAUACAACUCGAAUUAUUUUCCUAAGCAGUCAUCCGGUGAAUGAAGACCGUAUUAGGGAAACCAGAAGUAUAUAUCUAUCGGAUCUAAUUCGAACGAAUGAGCAAUGUCAAAAGUAUUCUGAAGCUCUGAUAGAACUGUGCAAGGAAAUGGAUAUGAAAGUGGUUGAUCUUUACACUGCAAUCCAGAGGAAGGAUGACUGGUUGACAACUUGUUUUACUAUCGGAGAGGACAGCGAUAAGGGCUGCAUCUAAAACUCUGAUGGAUACGGAGGCUAUAGAUUCAUUCAAGAAAACACAACACCUGCUAUUAGGAAGGUUGCAAGAUAGCAAUGCAGUGCUUUCACAUGUUGAUCAAUGAAUACUUAGACAAUUGCUAAGCAGAUGUCAUGACUGAGUUUUCAAAAAAUACACGUCUUUUGAAAUCAAAGAAGUGAGUGACCUUGACUACAUAUUUCUCAAGUUGAGAAACAUCAAGUCCAAGAUUUUCGCCACUUAUCCUGAUGCGUUUCCAAAUGAAUCCUUGGAAGUUGUUGACACCAGACCAGACCUUGAGGUACCUGUGUGUGAUAUGAGUUCGCAAGAUCAUGCAAGUCCGACAGAAUCCCAUCAACCACCAUCUGUAUAAUAAUACAUCUUUCUGAACAUCAGUUCGAGUUUGUACUUUUAAACCUUGUUGAGCAAGCAACUGAGAACAGGCUUGUUCACCGUGGAAAUAUAUAUUGCUCAGUUCCUCAUGGCAUCAAUGACCACACUCGCUGGUCUAGCUUUGGCAGCAGAAUCGGCUAAACUUGGAUUAAAAGUUGGCUUCUUGGUUUCAUAUAUUGAGUUCCCUUGGCUGGCUGGAAAUCUGCAGCCCAUCCCAAACCAGAAAAUUCAUUGGAGAUCUCUAGAAGGUCUUCCAAACAGUGGUGCUGUUUGAUUUUACCCAAGAGGUACUUCGUCAUGUCUUGUAGAACUUCUAAAGAAUAUUAGAGUGCAGAAUCUUCAGCAUUUGGAAUUAGUGCAGCCUUUUCGUAUGUUAUCAUUUCCUGCUGAUUACGGGAGAUGGUUAGCCAAUAGCCAGCCUUCAAUGUUAUUAUGAUGUUAGGAGAUCUUCUUUAAUUUGUAUGAACUGAUGGAAUGAUUAUGGCAUUACAAAAUGUGGCAUGAUGGUCGGACUGCUGUUACUGCAGAUGGGAAGCGCAGUGCUCAGUUAUGAGCAUACUUUACUGAAAAAGAAGUUGACACUAUAAGAGUAUAAGAUCGUAUUAAAGUUUAUCCAGCUCUUAUUCGGUACACCUGAAAACAUGAACUCUUAGGGCAAAGCGGUUGGGUGCUGAUCGAGCUCAAGUGAUGUUGGCAGAUUACACUGGUCCUCAGUACGAAACAGAGACACGAGUGACGGCAUCGAUUGUGAAAUUUUCUUAGUAUCCUAAUCCUGCUGCAUCCUCCAUAUCAAAAAGAAUCAUGGUGGAAGUUAACAGUUGAAUGAUUAAAUCUCUUAAAUGUUUCGAUUUGUUUAGGUUGAAAUGAGUUUGUCUAAAUAGGUUGUGUUUUUCAAGAUUUGUUGAAUUAUUGUAUGUAUAUAAUUUAUUGAUAAUGGUUAGUGUUAAGAGUGAUACAUGUAUGGGUUUCACUUGAUACUACGAUGAAAAAUAGUUUGGUUGAAAUACAACGCAUAAAAUGGUUGUUAAACUAAUUA